AGGUUAGUGCAAAAGUAAUUGCAGUUUUUGCGAUUACUUUUAAUGGCAAAAAUUGCAAUUACUUU
rnacentral:miRNA from 1 species